rnacentral:rRNA from 1 species
UACAGAGGGGGCAAGCGUUGUUCGGAAUUACUGGGCGUAAAGGGCGCGUAGGCGGCCUGUUAAGUCGAACGUGAAAUCCCCCGGGCUCAACCCGGGAACUGCGUCCGAUACUGGCAGGCUUGAAUCCGGGGAGAGGGAUGCGGAAUUCCAGGUGUAGCGGUGAAAUGCGUAGAUAUCUGGAGGAACACCGGUGGCGAAGGCGGCGAUCCUGGGACCGGGUAU